rnacentral:rRNA from 1 species
UACGGGGGGAGCAAGCGUUGUUCGGAUUUACUGGGCGUAAAGGGCGCGUAGGCGGCGCAACAAGUCACUUGUGAAAUCUCCGGGCUUAACCCGGAAAGGUCAACCGAUACUGUCGGGCUAGAGUGCGGAAGAGGCGAGUGGAAUUCCUGGUGUAGCGGUGAAAUGCGCAGAUAUCAGGAGGAACACCAAUUGCGAAGGCAGCUCGCUGGGACGUAACUGACGCUGAGACGCGAAAAGCGUGGGGAGCAAACAGG